CAGCAGCCACGGUAAUACGAAGGGGGCUAGCGUUGUUCGGAUUUACUGGGCGUAAAGGGUGCGUAGGCGGACUGAUAAGUCAGGGGUGAAAUCCCAAGGCUCAACCUUGGAACUGCCUUUGAUACUGUUAGUCUUGAGUUCGAGAGAGGUGAGUGGAACUGCGAGUGUAGAGGUGAAAUUCGUAGAUAUUCGCAAGAACACCAGUGGCGAAGGCGGCUCACUGGCUCGAAACUGACGCUGAGGCACGAAAGCGUGGGGAGCAAACAGGAUUAGAUACCCGCGUAGUCCCUGUCUCUUAUAC
rnacentral:rRNA from 1 species